AACGAACGCUGGCGGCAUGCCUAACACAUGCAAGUCGAACGAGACCUUCGGGUCUAGUGGCGCACGGAUGCGUAACGCGUGGGAACCUGCCCUUAGGUUCGGAAUAACUCCCCGAAAGGGGUGCUAAUACCGGAUAAUGUCUUCGGACCAAAGAUUUAUCGCCUUUGGAUGGGCCCGCGUUGGAUUAGCUAGUUGGUAGGGUAAAAGCCUACCAAGGCGACGAUCCAUAGCUGGUCUGAGAGGAUGAUCAGCCACACUGGGACUGAGACACGGCCCAGACUCCUACGGGAGGCAGCAGUGGGGAAUAUUGGACAAUGGGCGAAAGCCUGAUCCAGCAAUGCCGCGUGAGUGAUGAAGGCCUUAGGGUUGUAAAGCUCUUUUACCCGGGAUGAUAAUGACAGUACCGGGAGAAUAAGCUCCGGCUAACUCCGU
rnacentral:rRNA from 1 species